rfam:Rhizobium sp. YS-1r CONTIG.22, whole genome shotgun sequence.
UACCGGCGAUUGAUCACGCCGCAGUCUGGCAGCCGGCCUGUCCCCCGCCGCACCAGACCGGGCAAAGACCUAUCCCCCUCUCCGGGUCUUUGCCCCUCCAUCAGAACCGCCAUGGCUGUCCCCUCCCGGCCAUGGCGGUUUUUC